rnacentral:hammerhead_ribozyme from 1 species
CUCCAGCUGCCGAGUUCCAAAUAGGAUGAAACGCGCGUCCUGGAU